rnacentral:lncRNA from 1 species
AUGGUUCCCUCUAUAGUCAUGUUUAUACUAUAUGGUUCUAUAGUCAUGUUUAUACUAUAUGGUUCCCUCUCUAUAGUCAUGUUUCUACUAUAUGGUUCCCUCUCUAUAGUCAUGUUUAUACUAUAUGGUUCCCUCUAUAGUCAUGUUUAUACUAUAUGGUUCUAUAAUCAUGUUUAUACUAUAUGGUUCUAUAGUCAUGUUUACACUAUGGUUCCCUCUAUAGUCAUGUUUAUACUAUAUGGUUCCUUUUCAAUAAUUAUAAUAAUAAUAUUUAUUUAUUAUGGACCCUAUUUACCUUCAUAUUACCCUGUCUGAUUUAGCUGGUUUGCAGUGUGUCGUCAUCAGUAUGUUGAAUGAAUCAUACAAUUAAAACCUAUUUCUACUGAGUUAUAUAAAACAGUUAUAUUUUCACACUUCUUCAAUCUGAUAUGAAGGGUGUAUCUCAAUCUUAAAUGGUGUCCCCUCUCCUUGCUUCCUUCCCUUCAUCAGCACUGAUAUGAAACAACGAGUGGCAAAAUCAGGUUCCCUGGGACCCAACAUGCAGCUCUUGCAUCUGAAUUAAGACGCUUCCCUUUGUCUGUCUACUUACUACAUCAUGGGCCAUCGGUCUUUCUCUUUGGUCUCUCCUGUCAGAUGGGAUUGGCUGGAGCUGGGGUGGUUAAGCAUCAGAGGGCAGGUCAGAGGGGAUGGUGAGGGUGUGUAGCAGGAGGUGGACAGUGGUGGUGGCGGGGGGGAACCAGAGAGGGCGUUCAGGGAAGACUUCAGAGUCUCACAGGCUGCAACAAUCACCUACAUGACAGGGAGGAGGGGAGGCUAGGGUUGGCAAUGCUUGCUUUUUUGGCCAUAGCGCCGCAAAACAAUAAAACCAAAACCUAGCUCGUCUUUGAGCCUUUCUACACAGGUCUUCCGGUCCCUCUCAGCUACCGGACAGCUAAGCUGUUUACCGGCAUAUCCAACAAAAGAAAACAGAAAUCCAACAGGCUUAAUCUUACUGGGGUCAGGUCUAGGGCCAAAUAACAUCCGGUAGGUUCCUGUCCAGUUGGGUUCGAGAUCCCUCCCAGCGUUGGAGGGCUUUGUAUGUCAGCUCUUGCUGCUCCAAGCCAAAAACAGAUCUGGCUAAAGCCAGGCAAAAAAUAAUUAAUAACACCACCCAACCUCCAAGCUAAGCUUUAUUCUGGUGUGUGUCAUUAGGCUCUUACCCUUCCAGGCCUACCUCUCUUCUGGCCAGCAGAUGUCGCCAACGAGCAGGAAUAGAACGGCCUUCACACACCCACCCUUUCAGUCCAUCACAAUGGUGAAAUGCGCACACAGUGGACACAUAUUUUUG